GACGAACGCUGGCGGCGUGCCUAAUACAUGCAAGUUGAGCGCUGAAGGUUGGUACUUGUACCAACUGGAUGAGCAGCGAACGGGUGAGUAACGCGUGGGGAAUCUGCCUUUGAGCGGGGGACAACAUUUGGAAACGAAUGCUAAUACCGCAUAAAAACUUUAAACACAAGUUUUAAGUUUGAAAGAUGCAAUUGCAUCACUCAAAGAUGAUCCCGCGUUGUAUUAGCUAGUUGGUGAGGUAAAGGCUCACCAAGGCGAUGAUACAUAGCCGACCUGAGAGGGUGAUCGGCCAAAUUGGGAAUGAGACAAGGCCCAAACUCCUACGGGAGGCAGCAGUAGGGAAUCUUCGGCAAAGGAAGAAAGUCUGACCGAGCAACGCCGCGUGAGUGAAGAAGGUUUUCGGAUCGUAAAACUCUGUUGGUAGAGAAGAACGUUGGUGAGAGUGGAAAGCUCAUCAAGUGACGGUAACUACACAGAAAGGGACGGCUAACUACGUG
rnacentral:rRNA from 1 species